ACGUCUUUUCUAUUAUUUACAGGUACAUCUUUUAUUCUGGUUGAUCUGGCUUGACUACUUCGACGAACGAAAGGGAAGUUCUUGCUUUUAUUUAUUGUUGGUUUAUAUUACUGUUUCAUUUUGAAAUUGCAUCAAUUAAAUUUUUGCCUAAACUCACGUAAUUGGAUCCAUUGACCUCGUUAAAUCUCACUUUAACCUGCUUAUUUUACGUGAUUAGGUUUUGACUAGUAUUUGACCAUUGCUUUAUUAUUUUACAUAUACCAGCAAUACUAGCUUAUUGUAUAUAAUUUUAGUCCCAAAAUUUAAAUUUAAAAAAAAAUCUCAAAUUUUCAUUUUCCAUUACUUGCACUUUUUGUUCAUUGAUCUCUCUAUUGCAUGUCAUUAAGUUGCUAUUACAGUGCAUGCAGUUAUAUAUUGGUCAUCUUGUCACUUCUAGCUCUAGUACCUUAAACAUGAACCCCUCACAAUUCGAUACACUCAUCCGACAAAUAGCGGCUAUUCAAACUCAAAUGACCACUACUCUUGAAGAGAGUAAGACCCUAUCUGCUAGUUUGAAAAAUUUUAAACACAUCCCUCAUUCGAUUGAUGUUGAUAAUUCUAAGGUGUCCCAUAAUAGACAACAUCGUCGACAAGGUAAUCAAAAAUACUUUCGACCCGAUCGUAAGGAUAGGGAUAGGAAUAGGGAUCAAAUUCGUGAGCGAGAACGAGAUAAUUUUGAAAUUCUUACUCAAUGGAAUGCCCUUAAACAAGGAAAUCAAUUAGUGACUGAGUAUAUCGCGCAAUUUGAGGAAUUUCGAACCAAAUGUCAUUUAAUUGAGAAUGAGAGCACGACUUUGAGUAGGUUUAGCCAAGGUCUGAGAGAUGAUCUUAAGCGCGAGCUUUUCUUUCGAGGCGUCACUACUCUUAAUCACGCUUACUCUUUAGCUCGAGAUUAUGAGUUGAUUAUUAGUACUCCAUAUGAAAAGCGUGGUCAUCGUCGUUCACCCAUCUCAUUAGCGUCGCCUCAUCAUAAGUCUAUCAUAAAACCUUCUUCCCUUCUCUCUGUUUCUCCUCCCCGUUCCUUCUUCUUUCUUUCUUAUUCAUCCUACAUCAAAUUUGGUAUCAGAGCCGAACCAUGGGUAAUUUCUUUUCUUUAAUCCAAAAUUUAUUCAUAUUUCUUUCCCAAAAUCUGUUGGAACAGCACGAACUAAAAGAAUAUUUGGUACAGGCAGCAGCUUUUUUCUUCUUCUUCAAUUUUCAGUCUUAGGUGAAAAAAAAAAAAAAGGAAAAAAAAGUCACUGUUCACACCCGGAAUUUCAGUUUUUUUUAUAGAUUUUUCAGCAGUUUCACAAAAAAAAAAAUCGUUUUUGUUCACGGGUACUGUUCACACCCGAAAUUUAUUUCACACUCGAAAUUUCUUUUUUUUUUUUAAUUUAUUUAUUUAUCGUUUUCUGCAGUUCCAAAAAAAAAGUGAAAAAAAAAAAGAAAAAAAAUAGGAAAAAAAAAAGAGAGAAGAAACGUCUUUUCUAUUAUUUACAGGUACAUCUUUUAUUCUGGUUGAUCUGGCUUGACUACUUCGACGAACGAAAGGGAAGUUCUUGCUUUUAUUUAUUGUUGGUUUAUAUUACUGUUUCAUUUUGAAAUUGCAUCAAUUAAAUUUUUGCCUAAACUCACGUAAUUGGAUCCAUUGACCUCGUUAAAUCUCACUUUAACCUGCUUAUUUUACGUGAUUAGGUUUUGACUAGUAUUUGACCAUUGCUUUAUUAUUUUACAUAUACCAGCAAUACUAGCUUAUUGUAUAUAAUUUUAGUCCCAAAAUUUAAAUUU
rnacentral:lncRNA from 1 species